rnacentral:rRNA from 1 species
GUGCCAGCCGCCGCGGUAAUACGUAGGGGGCAAGCGUUGUUCGGAAUUACUGGGCGUAAAGCGCGUGUAGGCGGUCUGAUAAGUCGGAAGUGAAAGCCCUCGGCUCAACCGGGGAAUGGCUUUCGAUACUGUCGGACUUGAGUGUGGGAGGGGAGAGCAGAAUUCCCGGUGUAGCGGUGAAAUGCGUAGAUAUCGGGAGGAAUACCGGUGGCGAAGGCGGCUCUCUGGACCAUUACUGACGCUGAGACGCGAAAGCGUGGGGAUCAAACAGGAUUAGAAACCCUUGUAGUCC